rnacentral:rRNA from 1 species
CAGAGGGUGCAAGCGUUGUUCGGAAUUACUGGGCGUAAAGCGCGUGUAGGCGGCGUUUCAAGUCCUGUGUGAAAGCCCUGGGCUCAACCCAGGAAGUGCGCAGGAUACUGGAAUGCUUGAGUAACGGAGAGGAUGGCGGAAUUCCCGGUGUAGAGGUGAAAUUCGUAGAUAUCGGGAGGAACACCUGUGGCGAAGGCGGCCAUCUGGACGUUCACUGACGCUGAGACGCGAAAGCAUGGGGAGCAAACAGGAUUAGAUACCCUGGUAGUCCAUGCUGUAAACGAUGGAUGCUAGAUGUCGCGGGUAUUGACCCCUGCGGUGUCGACGCUAACGCAUUAAGCAUCCCGCCUGGGGAGUACGGCCGCAAGGUUA